rnacentral:rRNA from 1 species
GGGGAAUAUUGCGCAAUGGGGGGAACCCUGACGCAGCCAUGCCGCGUGAAUGAAGAAGGCCUUCGGGUUGUAAAGUUCUUUCGGUAUUGAGGAAGGGAUGUGUGCUAAUAGUACAUAUCAUUGACGUUAAAUACAGAAGAAGCACCGGCUAACUCCGUGCCAGCAGCCGCGGUAAUACGGAGGGUGCGAGCGUUAAUCGGAAUAACUGGGCGUAAAGGGCACGCAGGCGGUUAUUUAAGUGAGGUGUGAAAGCCCCGGGCUUAACCUGGGAAUUGCAUUUCAGACUGGGUAACUAGAGUACUUUAGGGAGGGGUAGAAUUCCACGUGUAGCGGUGAAAUGCGUAGAGAUGUGGAGGAAUACCGAAGGCGAAGGCAGCCCCUUGGGAAUGUACUGACGCUCAUGUGCGAAAGCGUGGGGAGCAAACAGGAUUAGAUACCCUGGUAGUCCACGCUGUAAACGCUGUCGAUUUGGGGAUUGAGCUUAAAGCUUGGUGCCCGUAGCUAACGUGAUAAAUCGACCGCCUGGGGAGUACGGCCGCAAGGUUA